CCUUGUAAUUGUGAGGUAGAUCCAUGAUGUCACUGUGUCCUAGAGGAUUCAUAAGGGUGGAAGACCAGGGUGACUAUCACCCUUCAUCCCCAGCUCAGCUAACUACCAUCCUCACUACCAAGCUAUCUUGAAGUUCUCUUCAUUCAUUUAAAUUCUAUUUUGAGUGGAUUUAGUAUAACUGGAGCUGUAGAUGGAGCAGUAGAUGGCUAAUUAUUCUCCAUGACCAAGAAAUGAUCCUUCUGAGUACUCUACCUAACAUCCCAUAAAUCCUGAGGUUUUCCAGCCUGGCUGUUGGGAACAGCUUGACAACUUUUGGCUGCAGUCUUUUUUUCUUAUUAAUUUCAAGCAAACUGAGAACCUUGAGUUUCAAUUUCCUGUCCAGCCCUGAGAUUCAAAGGUAGCUUUGAGCUGAGACUAUUUGUCCAUGGAUCCUCCACGUAAAGUUACCCCACCUUUUAAUUCUGAUUCAUUGCUGAUUCCACCAAAAGAAAUGUCCCAGAAACUUACAUCAACUUCCCAGUCAUCUUUCUCCAAAGUGCAAAACCUGGAUCGUAUUAGCUUUAGCCCCAGUUUUAAUAGCAACUACCUCACCCCUCUACCAGAGGAAACGAUCCAACAGCAAUACAGAGAUGAGAUGAGCCAACAUGAGAGGCGGUGGGAGAAGUCAGCGUUCCCUCAGAGGAAAAAGACAUUCAUGGAGAACAUGAGACAGAAAAGUUACUAUCACAUGGCACCUUAUCGGGUUGAAAGGGAAGGAAAGAUCUAUUUCUCACAUGAUAGAGAUCAGAAUAAGUGUAAAUGCCAUUAUUGCCUCAUUCAAAGGGAAGCUAUUUCGGGGAACUCUAAAGGGCAAAACGCAUCCUCUUGGAAAAUGCUAGUAGAAGGCUUUAGCCACUUGAACAUCAACUCUGAUACCACAGAGUCCCGCUGUCCAUCAGAAAAGCUUCCACAGGAGUAGAAAAGAAAGAAGAGCCAUCAAUAGAGGGAGAAGAAAAUCAAACAAUUCCUCAGAGGCUCUGAAAACAAUAAUUGAAAUAAACCGACACUCAUCCUCAUGUGAUGAGAUCAGAAUUAA